rnacentral:rRNA from 1 species
UACGUAGGUGGCGAGCGUUGUCCGGAUUUACUGGGCGUAAAGAGCGCGCAGGCGGUCGUGCAAGUCGCGUGUGAAAGCCCCCGGCUCAACUGGGGAGGGUCACGCGAUACUGCUCGACUCGAAGGCAGGAGAGGGAAGUGGAAUUCCCGGUGUAGUGGUGAAAUGCGUGGAUAUCGGGAGGAACACCAGUGGCGAAGGCGACUUCCUGGCCUGUUCUUGACGCUGAGGCGCGAAAGCUAGGGUAGCAAACGGG